rnacentral:rRNA from 1 species
ACCCCUUGGGAGUUCUUGGUGUUGCACCAAUUGGUGCGAUCAUACCAGCACUAAUGCACCGGAUCCCGUCAG